GUUCAGUGCUGCAGAGAAGGAUGAUGUGUCUUAUCUGAAGGUGGAGUGGGAGUUCCCUUUGGGAAGAUUUUUCAAAUUUCCCUGAUAUAAGAUCUAUUCGGGGUGUUGGUGAAACACACAGAUCCAGGCAUGUCCUUUGGGAUUACCGAUUCAGUGGGGUUAAACCAUGUCCCUGAAAUAUGUAUUUUUGACAGCCAUGUGUUCGGUGUCAUGUGGAAGUGAGGGAAACACUACCCUAUGAAGGGUGACUUUGAUGGUGGUCCCUGAUGCCUAAACAACCCCCAUCAUUGCCUGGAGGGUAUUUCCUACUUUCUUCUCACUUCUUCCACAUCUCUUUUCUGCAUUCAGUCCCAGUCCUUACCUCAAAUUCAUCACCUCCUUGUCAUUUCACUUCAGCCUACAAUUGCCAUUCUAUUUCAAGUCACUCCUGUUCCACACACCCUGAGCCACAGUGGUAAACAAUCUGCUAUUGCAUGCUCUACCAAGAUCUUCAGAGCUUUUUUUUACUUUUUCACAUUCUACUUUCUGCUUCAAAUCUUUCUUUCAAUAUUUUGCCUAUUGCACUUCCAGUUCUUCUUCAAGAGUUCACAUGUCAUUUCCUUCAGAAGUUGUCUUCAGCUCCCCCAGACACUGUUCAUUCUUCUCCUGUAGCACUUUGGAUUUAUCCUAUCUAGAAUGCAUGUCAUGUUGUAAUUACUUGUUAACUUGUCUCUCUCUCGGUAGGCAGCAUAGUAGAGACGGUGUCUUCACUCUAUUUGAAAUGUCCAGCAGUGAAUAUAGUAGGAAAUGUAGACACAUUUGCACAGACAGCUUCAGACUUUUAAUAAUUUUAUUAAAUUACAAUCAUCAAAAUGGAGGUAUGGGUUUGUUUAUGUAGCUCCAUGUAUUUAUUCAUUCAUUCAUUGAUAUACUUACUUAGACAAAUAUCUAAUUGAAAUCCUUUCAUAAAGACUAAGCAUAUAAGGUGGACAGAAACAUUUAUAAAAUAAUUAUAUAAUCAAUAAGAGAUUUGCUACUGUGAAAAGUAUCAAGAAUGACAGGCAUAUGGGGGCAGUGAAAGCAUAAAGGUGGU
rnacentral:lncRNA from 1 species